rnacentral:rRNA from 1 species
CGUAACAAGGUUUCCGUAGGUGAACCUGCGGAAGGAUCAUUACCGAGUGAGGGCCCUCUGGGUCCAACCUCCCACCCGUGUUUAUCGUACCUUGUUGCUUCGGCGGGCCCGCCUCACGGCCGCCGGGGGGCAUCCGCCCCCGGGCCCGCGCCCGCCGAAGACACACAAACGAACUCUUGUCUGAAGAUUGCAGUCUGAGUACUUGACUAAAUCAGUUAAAACUUUCAACAACGGAUCUCUUGGUUCCGGCAUCGAUGAAGAACGCAGCGAAAUGCGAUAAGUAAUGUGAAUUGCAGAAUUCAGUGAAUCAUCGAGUCUUUGAACGCACAUUGCGCCCCCUGGUAUUCCGGGGGGCAUGCCUGUCCGAGCGUCAUUGCUGCCCUCAAGCACGGCUUGUGUGUUGGGCUCUCGCCCCCCGCUUCCGGGGGGCGGGCCCGAAAGGCAGCGGCGGCACCGCGUCCGGUCCUCGAGCGUAUGGGGCUUCGUCACCCGCUCUGUAGGCCCGGCCGGCGCCCGCCGGCGAACACCAUCAAUCUUAACCAGGUUGACCUCGGAUCAGGUAGGGAUACCCGCUGAACUUAAGCAUAUCAAUA